rfam:Nematostella vectensis strain CH2 x CH6 NEMVEscaffold_285_Cont22393, whole genome shotgun sequence.
CCUUCGAUAGCUCAGUUGGUAGAGCGGGAGACUGUAGAUUUAUAAUUGUGAUCCGAAGGUUGCUGGUUUGAAUCCGGCUCGAAAAC